rnacentral:tRNA from 1 species
UGGCUUAGAUGGUAAAGAAUCUGCCUUCAGUGCAGGAGACCCAGGUUCGAUCCCUGG